GCAAGGCGGCACCCUGGGCCCUUCUGCUGGGCCUGCCUGACUGCUUUGGAAUUCAGGAAAGGCAUGCUUUGCCUGUGUGGGAGGGAGCUGAGGAAGUCUGAGCCAUCCACAACCGACCAUCUGAAGUCACUUUCCCAGGGAGCCGAAGACGCACAUGGCCAGACACUGCUCUGCUUUUCAAAGAGAUAGUGAAACAUGAUAAAUAGCAUGCUAUUUAAGACAAGAUGUUUUCAAACAACUGGACCAAAUCAACAAAACGGAACCAUAUGCUUCAUGAAGACCACCUUCAUAUUCCUCACAGGAACCUGAAGCUGGGCAUCUGGACAGAGACUCUCUGCUGCCAUCACUGUUACGAAAACAUUUGGAAUAUUUUAGCAAAUGCGUGGGCUUGGAAGUAGAUGAGAGGCAGGAAGCUGCACGGUCUGGGCUCAGAUUG